GCAGGCCACCUAGCAGGAGGCCAGGGGAGCUCUCAGACCACCUAGCAGGAGGCCAGGGGAGCUCUCAGACCACCUAGCAGGAGGCCAGGGCAGCUCUCAGACCACCUAGCAGGAGGCCAGGGCAGCUCUCAGACCACCUAGCAGGAGGCCAGGGCAGCUCUCAGACCACCUAGCAGGAGGCCAGGGCAGCUCUCAGACCACCUAGCAGGAGGCCAGGGCAGCUCUCAGACCACCUAGCAGGAGGCCAGGGCAGCUCUCAGACCACCUAGCAGGAGGCCAGGGCAGCUCUCAGACCACCUAGCAGGAGGCCAGGGCAGCUCUCAGACCACCUAGCAGGAGGCCAGGGCAGCUCUCAGACCACCUAGCAGGAGGCCAGGGCAGCUCUCAGACCACCUAGCAGGAAACUCCUUGACCCACCAGAUCGCAUGUCAGCCUGGGGGAAGAGGACACCUGCACUUGUCACUCAUACCUGCACAGCUUCUGAUGAGGACCCCAGUCUGCCUGCAGCCUGCUGGUGAUGCCCAGAAGUUAGGACCCUGGCCCCAGGAUGCUGCCAGCCUGCCCUGCAGGGAGGGAAGAAACAGAAAGGGUUACUCUGGUGAUCACUGGGGCUUAAGGAUGCCCCAAUGCCUCACCCUGCCAAAAACUGACCCCCCAUUGACCCUCCAAUCCAAAUCAGGUCCCUCUACAAUAAAUAUCUCAUCACACCGUUUACUUUUCCUUCAUGGCACUUAUCAUGAGUGGUAAUUUUUUAUGUGCCUCUGUGGUUUUUUUAAAAACUUUUUUAUUAUGGAAAAUUGUAAACAUUUACAAAAUAAAACAAGAGUUUUGUGGACUCCAUGUGCCCAUCACCCAGCUUCAACAAUGAUCAAGUCAGAGCCAGUCUUGUUUCAUCUCCACCUGCGCUCACUCCCACCUCCCUGGAUUAACUGAGGCAUCGUGUCGUUUCAUCUGUAAAUAUUUCAGUGUUCAAGUUGGAGACAGAUGCCUAUUGUGCCCACCAUUAUAUGCCAAGCAACUAACCCUCGCCUAACCGUGUGCUCAAUACACUAAUAGCAGAAGGAAUUUGGGGAGGUGUGGAUGGGAAUAAUGGCCGCUCUCUGCAUCUGAACAGGACUGAACAAUGUACAGAGGACUUUCAGAUCUCUCUUUAUCUCGCAAACAGAGAAAGUAAACAGGCCAGGGAUUAUGCCCACACUCCACAGAUAAGGAAACGGAGGCUCUGAGAGAUAAACAUAAGGUCCAUAAAUGUUUAAAACUGGAGCUUCCCCACCCCAAUUUGGAUGCAGCAGGAGAAGUAUGCUUAGCAUUGCCCUCCAGAGGGGCUGGAGUGACAGGUCUUCUUGGGACCUUCUAAACCCACAGGCAUUUUACCUGCUACUUCUUCUUCCCACUAUGCUUGCUUGGUAUGGGACUAUAUCCCAGUUUUUAGUUACUGAGAAUUUAUACUGUGCAACUGCAAGGGAUGGACACCAUUCACCAUGACAGCAACGAGUCAGCAAAGAGGGACAUGUGUUUCAGUAGUAUAGCUCUAAGAUGGAAGCACCCUGGACCACCAGCCCCCCUGGAGGAAAGCCAUCCCACCAGCAUUGCACCAUGUGUGAGUAAAAAGUAAACUUUUAUUGCCACCGAAAUUUCAGGGUUUGUGUAUACCGCAGUAUAACCCAGUUUAACCUCACUGAUACAGCCUCCCUGUAACUCAGUCUUCUCAUGAGUAAGAU